GAGAGAGCUAUUAGAGAUUGUGAAGAAGAAUUUCUAUCUCCGCCCUGGGGUCAUUGUCAGGGAUCUGGAUCUGAAGAAGCCAAUUUAUCAGAGGACUGCAGCUUAUGGCCACUUUGGUAGGGACAGCUUCCCACGGGAAGUGCCCAAAAAGCUUAAAUAUUGAAAGUGUUAGCCUUUUUUCCCCAGACUUGUUGGCGUAGGAUACAGAGAAGCCUUCAAGCUCUGAGGGAAAGGGCCCUCCUUCCUAAAUUUUCCUGUCCUCUUUCAGCUCCUGAUCAGUUGCAGUCACUCUAGUCAACGACAUGAAUUUUAGCUUUUGUGGGGGACUGUAAGUUGGGCUUGCUAUUCUGUCCCUAGGUGUUUUGUUCACCAUUAUAAUGAAUUUAGUGAGCAUAGGUGAUCCAUGUAACUGCCUAGAAACAACACUGUAGUAAAUAAUGCUUUGAAAUUGAA